rnacentral:rRNA from 1 species
CCUACGGGAGGCAGCAGUGGGGAAUAUUGGACAAUGGGGGGAACCCUGAUCCAGCCAUGCCGCGUGUGUGAAGAAGGCCCUCGGGUUGUAAAGCACUUUCAGUGAGGAAGAACGCCUGGUGGUUAAUACCCAUCAGGAAAGACAUCACUCAUAGAAGAAGCACCGGCUAACUCCGUGCCAGCAGCCGCGGUAAUACGGAGGGUGCGAGCGUUAAUCGGAAUUACUGGGCGUAAAGCGCGCGUAGGUGGCUUGAUAAGCCGGUUGUGAAAGCCCCGGGCUCAACCUGGGAACGGCAUCCGGAACUGUCAAGCUAGAGUGCAGGAGAGGAAGGUAGAAUUCCCGUUGUAGCGGUGAAAUGCGUAGAGAUCGGGAGGAAUACCAGUGGCGAAGGCGGCCUUCUGGACUGACACUGACACUGAGGUGCGAAAGCGUGGGUAGCAAACAGGAUUAGAUACCCUGGUAGUC